AUGGGGGAAAUGGUAGCAUCAGCAGUUGUGCAGGAGGCUGUGAGUGGAGCCGUCUCCUUCCUGUUCAGCAGCCGCAGCGGAAAGGCAUCCCAGGAGGAACUCAUGGAGAGGCUGGAGAUGGCGCACAUAAAGCUGCAUGUUGGGCUCGAGAGGACCAAGAUGAUGCCCAUUACCAUCAUGCCGUUGCUUCGCCUGAGGAAGAAACUAAAGGAUGUCUUCAAGGAGUGCGAUGAUCUGCUCAGCAAGGUGAGGGAUCAUCAGCAAGUGGUACCCUCUUUACGUAGAAAGAUUAUGCACGCUGUGUUGCCAUCUUUCAUUGUCCCAAGUCAAGAUGUGUUGAGCAGCUCUGUGGUUGGAAGAUUUGAGCGGUUUGUCGAGGAAGCCGAAAGGUUUGUCAGAGACGUGGAGUCUGGAUCUUCACUUUCUCACUACAGGUUUCUCACUUCUUCGAUGAGGCAUCUUCUUGAAGGCAAGAGUCUCUCCUAUCGCAAAGUGCAAGGAAGCAAGGCUUUCUCACUUGGUAUAUGGACGGCUUUUGUGGAAGAGUAUGGCAGACUCGCAUUGCUAGGGUUUGAUUACAAAGAUCACAAGGCGCCACUUAAAAAUUGUUACAUGCAACUGAUUAUAAGAUUAUAUGAAAGCACAAACAUAGUUGGAAUUACCGCAAAAUGUUUGCGGUCACUUGGACCACAAUUCAAGUCUUUGGUUGAAGAUGCAACUGGGGGAACUCACCCAAUUACCUACACAAGACGUUUCAUAUUUCGAUUCAAUAUGGUUCGAAGACAUGGCUAA
rnacentral:rRNA from 1 species